rnacentral:rRNA from 1 species
GUGAACGCUGGCGGUAGGCCUAACACAUGCAAGUCGCACGGCAGCACAGUAAGAGCUUGCUCUUACGGGUGGCGAGUGGCGGACGGGUGAGGAAUACAUCGGAAUCUACUUUUUCGUGGGGGAUAACGUAGGGAAACUUACGCUAAUACCGCAUACGACCUACGGGUGAAAGCAGGGGAUCUUCGGACCUUGCGCGAUUGAAUGAGCCGAUGUCGGAUUAGCUAGUUGGCGGGGUAAAGGCCCACCAAGGCGACGAUCCGUAGCUGGUCUGAGAGGAUGAUCAGCCACACUGGAACUGAGACACGGUCCAGACUCCUACGGGAGGCAGCAGUGGGGAAUAUUGGACAAUGGGCGCAAGCCUGAUCCAGCCAUACCGCGUGGGUGAAGAGGGCCUUCGGGUUGUAAAGCCCUUUUGUUGGGAAAGAAAAGCAGCAGGUUAAUACCCCGCUGUUCUGACGGUACCCAAAGAAUAAGCACCGGCUAACUUCGUG